UGCGUGCCGUGCAGAGGGUUUGUGCAAGCUCGCUGGGUGGCGACGCUAGCCACGGUCCCGAGGACCAUGACAUCAAUGAGCUGGCUUUCACCUUGUUCAAGGCAGCAGCGGAACACUAUGGGCGGGACCCCAGGUCGACGUACCGGCCGGCUCAUGGCUGCUGUCCUGUACCCCGCACGGCACUGCGUGUGGCUUAACUGGCCAAGCAGAGGGCCAUCGCAUGACUUUUAUGAGGCGCUGCUAGCCAUUGUUUCAAACCGUCCUGAAUCAUGGACCAAGCCUUGCAAGACUUCACUCUUAUGCCCUGUCCCUUUUAGUGGAUCGGGACUUGCCAUCUUCCCCUCUCGUGGCUCCCUGUCGUAAUUAAAUAAAUUAAAUUUUUUUCUCAUGACAGUGCACACCUACUGGUACACGUCACAAAAAGAGUGUCGUAAAUCCAUUCCACAGAUUACUGUGAAACAUGCGAGAAGGUAAUUGUCGUGUUCCGAGGCGAGAGGAAGGUCAAAGCCUGGAGCCGCAAACCAACACCCGUGAGUCCUUUACCGAACCUUAAGCGUAUCUGCCAGUCACGCGCAUCUCAGACCCUCACGCAUGGCCCAGCCAGCUCACCGUCUCACAUGCCGCCAGACUUCGUCUUCUUUAUACGACGCCUCCCCCUUUCAGCCUCAUUGUCCAUAGCGUUCCGGUGGUCGUGAAAUUCUCCCACUUCGUCUUAUGGUUGCUUGAGGAUCGUUCUCCCGUUAACCGGCCUGCUGGCUGUCGCUGUCGGGAAUCGCGGGCUGGAGAUGGUGCCUUGUGCGUCGUAUCGUUCCUUGGUCGGUUUCUACAAGGUAAGACCAAGGUGGUCCGGCCGCUCCAGCGUGAAUCCACACUGCUGCAUGUGGGUGUAGCUCCCUGCCAUUUCUUGUACGGUGGCGCCUAUUAUAGUUAGACGCCUAUCUUGUCUUCCGUUUCCUGUAUCAUUGCCGAUACCUCCUGGAGUGUUGCCAGAGAGGUACGGGGCGCCGUUGGAAGAGUGGAGCGUAACUUCUGCCCCAUCAAAAGUUCGGCAGGGGAAAACCCUUUGGGCCCAGGGAUGGUUCGGUGGACCAGAAGAGCUUGUGCUGAAUUCAAGGUUUUCUUCGCAGUCUGCACCGCUCUCUCCGCUUCUCCGUUACUCUGGGGAUAAUACGGGCUUGAAGCAAACAGUUCGACUCCCCACUCUCUGGCGAAUCACCGGAACUUGGUUGAGCCAAACUGGGGACCGUUGUUGGAGCGGAUGACUUUUGGGCAACUGUGUCUAGCAAAGUUCUGGCUGAAAACCUUGAUAAUGUCCUCUGUGGUUGUUCGAGGUAUUUCUUCAAGUUUGAAGAACUUCGAGUAGUAGUCGACGAUGACUAUAUACUUCUUCCCCCUGAACUGGAAAACGUCCGUUCCAAUUUCCUGCCAGG